AAGUCGUAACAAGGUUUCCGUAGGUGAACCUGCGGAAGGAUCAUCAAAGAAAGAUGAGAUUUCUUUUUUGUGUGGAUAUAUGUUUUAUAUUUCUUCGACCAAGCAAACCAAUGAGAAACAACUUUUAACAAUGGAUCUCUUGGCUCUC
rnacentral:misc_RNA from 1 species